rnacentral:rRNA from 1 species
GACGAACGCUGGCGGCGUGCUUAACACAUGCAAGUCGAACGGAAAGGCCCUGCUCUUGGGGGGUGCUCGAGUGGCGAACGGGUGAGUAACACGCGAGUAACCUGUCCUUGACUUUGGGAUAACUUCAGGAAACUGGGGCUCAUAUCGGAUAGGAGCUCCUGCUGCAUGGUGGGGGUGGGAAAGUUUCGGCGGUUGGGGUUGGACUCGCGGCUUAUCAGCUUGUUGGUGGGGUAGUGGCUUACCAAGGCUUUGACGGGUAGCAGGCCUGCGCGGGUGACCGGCCACGUUGGGACUGGGAUACGGCCCAGACUCCUACGGGAGGCAGCAGUGGGGAGUAUUGCACAAUGGGCGGAGGCCUGAUGCAGCACCGCCGCGUGCGGGAUGACGGCCUUCGGGUUGUAAACCGAUUUCGCCUGUGACGAAGCGUGAGUGACGGUAAUGGGUAAAGAAGCACCGGCUAACUACGUG